rnacentral:tRNA from 1 species
GCGGGUAUGAUGUAAUGGUAUCCUGUCAGCUUCCCAAGCUGAACGCGCGAGUUCGAUUCCCGCUACCCGCUCCA